GACGAACGCUGGCGGCGUGCUUAACACAUGCAAGUCGAACGGAAAGGCCCUGCUUUUGUGGGGUGCUCGAGUGGCGAACGGGUGAGUAACACGUGAGUAACCUGCCCUUGACUUUGGGAUAACUUCAGGAAACUGGGGCUAAUACCGGAUAGGAGCUCCUGCUGCAUGGUGGGGGUUGGAAAGUUUCGGCGGUUGGGGAUGGACUCGCGGCUUAUCAGCUUGUUGGUGGGGUAGUGGCUUACCAAGGCUUUGACGGGUAGCCGGCCUGAGAGGGUGACCGGCCACAUUGGGACGGAGAUACGGCCCAGACUGCUACGGGAGGCAGGAGUGGGGAAUAUUGCACAAUGGGCGGAAGCCUGAUGCAGCAACGACGCGUGCGGGAGGACGGCCUUCGGGUGGGAAACCGCUUUCGCCUGUGACGAAGCGUGAGUGACGGUAAUGGGUAAAGAAGCACCGGCUAACUACGU
rnacentral:rRNA from 1 species